GUGAUCUGUGUUUACAUUCUAUAAUUGUAUACUUGUCCUUGCCAUUGCCCUGUCCUGAAAUUCUUGCAAGCUAGAUCUAUUGUUUUUCAUUUGCUCGCUACUACACAACAAUAUUACUUCUGUAAACCUAAUAACCUCAAAGAUUAUAACGUGAUUAAAUAGUAUUUCCUGGAGAAGGUUCAACAUUGGUGCUCUUCCAUGUCAGCUAGAGGAGAAAAAUGAGGAGGAGCCGCUUCUCUGGCCAGACCUGGGGUCGGGACCGGCACGCCACUGACAUAUCUACGCCUGCGACCAUGGCCACACGCAUGGGCUGACGCCGCUAAUGAAGAUGCGUACCCUUAGCCACGAAUUUGUCCCUGAUCCCAUCCAUGCAGGUGGGCUUCGCUGCCAUGGAAUGACACCUCUGAUCUUCCAUGUAGAUGAGCUCGGGUUCAUGGAAGCCAUGUCCAAGCAAACUGAGUGCUUUGAAGGUUUUAUAGAAAAGGAAUCGGAAGCUCGGAGAGACCUCACGUGAAUCAACAGGCAAUUCCCUAUGGGCAAGCCUUAAAUCAUUAUCUUGAACAGAUAGUUUCACUUUUUCGCGACAGAAUAUAUGCUGUGAAUGAAAUCGGCCUUGAUGACCGCUAUUUAGAAUUUAGGCAAGUGGAAGGAGAUGGGGAGUGUUUCUACAGGAGCUUCAUAUUUUCCUACCUUGAGCAAGUUCUUGAUAGGAAAGACACAAAUGAGGAACGCCGCCUCCUUGCAGCUAUCCAAGAGUUGGCUGAGGAACCUGCACGUUUUGGAUGGGCCUCUGAAUUUUCUAGGAGCCAUGAUGCAUUAAGGAGUUGAUGAAGAAAGUAAAGAGAUGGAAGAAAAAAUGCAGAUUGAUCCCCGUAUUAACUGACAGGGUUUUGAUAUGUUUGGUUUGCUGCAAUUCCGGGAAGUGUUGCUGAUUAAUUGAAUUAUUGCUUCACUUUCAUACAUGUAUGAAAAAUUUGCAUAAUUUUACUUUAAAGGUGACGCCGGAGCUGGCGAAUUUGAGUGCAGGGCUUUUUUGGCGGCUUUGCUCCUCUUUUAAAGAAGAUACCUUCAGAGGAUAAUGGUAAUUAAAUACCCAUACCGCAACAUCAUCAGUAGUCAUUAAGAGUAAUUUUCUAUCUUGAUGAUUUCAUCCAUGACUGUGAGAUAUAUUAACUCUUCAACCUCAGUUUUAAUCAAGGACAAUUGAAGCCUAUUGAUUUUGAAUUGUUGACACAUGGUUUGCUUGAGACAAGUGAAGCUGCCGAGGUGAUUUGUACACCUAAACUGCUUCAAGUAUUCGCCCGAUUUGCAUGGCAAGAAUAGUAGGAUUAUACAGGUUAAUGUCAAGGGCUUGAAAGGUGUGAGGGAAGUAAACAUGGAUCUGAUGGUGAUGGGAAUCUUUCUUAUAAAGAAAGAUACAUAGGGUGUAUGAUCUGGCGCAUAUUAGAUAAUCAAAGUUGAUGCAUUGUGCACCAAUCUGGUUGAUGUUUACAUAAUCCAAGCAGAUUUACCAAUUUGAAGAGCCAUGUAUUAUUGUAGCUUCCUCUCUACAUCAAGUACACAUAAAUAUAAUGCCGAAGAAUGUAGUUUAUUUUAUUGGUCUACAGAUCUUCCCUGCGAGGCGCUACAGAUCAGAUGGGCGCUGUUGUGAAGGCCGCGAAGGCGUGGCAGGUGGCAUGGGUUAGCAUGUGGGUGGUACCACCAUGCUGCUCUGGACGUGCAUUGUGGUGCUGCUCGUGGCGGCUUUCGGAGGGAGACAGAGUGCAGAACAUAAAGAAUUUGGGAGCUACUUGGGUUUGGAUCAGCAAGCCAUGUCCGUUUGGUUUGGCAAAGGAAGGCCUUUUAUCCUUUUUCUAUAAUGCCAUGAACAUCUCUGAAUUUUUACACUGGUUCCAGCCGAUGCUUAAUAUUUUUCCAACAUUUUUGUGACUGGAGCCCACACAUACAUAGUCAUGGAUCUGAUUUUGAUUUUUGGACCUUGCUAUUUCACUGAUUUGGAACAUUUAUAUGCAGUUCUAGGCUUCUAGCUAGAUGGAUUAAUAGAUAUGUUGGACCUAUGCAUUUUAUAUUACCCGCAUGGAUCUAUGUUUAUUAUUUGAUGCUCCUCUUUAUCCUGGAGAAGAAUUUUUGCAAAGAGUUGUCAUUUUUGGAGAUAUGGAUUUGUUGUCACUUCAGCAGUAUGCUUUCAGUGCUACAAAGUAUGCAGUGAAUUAGAUUAGAUUGAUGAUAGAACUAUUGGCAGCACCAGUUUAACAUAUGUUGAUUUCUGGCCCAUCUUUAUUUGCUUCCGAGUUAAACUAUGAAUUUGAAAACAAAAAAAUUAUACAUUUGUUGAUGCUAAAUUUAUCAGUCCUUUUGUUUUGAUAAUCACCUCCUGCAUAUGUGUUCCUGGGUAGUUUUCUUACUGCCACAGCUUGGUUGUUCUAGCAGGAUAAUGUAUUUUUUUAUGGAAAACACGGAUGAGUAAUUACAUGAUAUGUUAUUAAUAUUAAACUAUGUUGUUUCUCUGAAACUAACUUUGUAUUUCAGCUUUGGAAACUGUGUUCUAACCUUAGUUCUGACAAGAGGGCCACUAUAAUCACCAACUGGUUUGAGUUUUGUCACCGCGCCAAAAUUCGUGAGGGAGACAUCUAUGCAUUUGUUUCAGGAUCACUUCAAAGCGCAGCCUGGUUUUCACACUGCACCGCCUCUAGAUGCACCAUCGACGACACUGCAGGCCCUGUGUCAAUAUAAUCUAACACUAAGUACUCUUAAUUAUGCUCUAUCCUGUGACAUCCUAUGGUUUGCUUUUGGUCCUUUUAUCACAUGCUUUUCAAGACACUAAAUUUAUGUUAUUGCUUAUGUAAAGUGCACUAUUCUUAGUCAGAUGUUUUAUGUUCAGAUCCA